UACGUAGGGGGCUAGCGUUGUCCGGAAUCAUUGGGCGUAAAGCGCGUGUAGGCGGUCCGGUAAGUCCGCUGUGAAAGUCGGGGGCUCAACCCUCGGAUGCCGGUGGAUACUGUCGGGCUUGAGUACGGAAGAGGCGAGUGGAAUUCCUGGUGUAGCGGUGAAAUGCGCAGAUAUCAGGAGGAACACCAAUUGCGAAGGCAGCUCGCUGGGACGUUACUGACGCUGAGACGCGAAAGCGCGGGGAGCAAACAGG
rnacentral:rRNA from 1 species